rnacentral:rRNA from 1 species
CUGGCUCAGAACGAACGCUGGCGGCGCGUCUAAGCAUGCAAGUCGAACGGCAAGAGGUAGCAAUACCUCCUAGAGUGGCGGACUGGUGAGUAACACGUGGGUGACAUACCCUUCAGAUGGGGAUAGCUAUUAGAAAUAGUAGAUAAUACCGAAUACGAGCACAGGGGUUAGAGAUCUGUGAAGGAAAGGAGCUAAGGCUCCGCUGAAGGAAUGGCCUGCGGCCCAUUAGCUAGUUGGUGAGGUAAGAGCCCACCAAGGCGAUGAUGGGUAUCCGGCCUUAGAGGGUGAACGGACACAUUGGGACUGAGAUACGGCCCAGACUCCUACGGGAGGCAGCAGCUAAGAAUAUUCCGCAAUGGACGAAAGUCUGACGGAGCGACGCCGCGUGGAUGAAGAAGGCCGGAAGGUUGUAAAAUCCUUUUGAAACUGAAGAAUAAGCGUUGUAGGGAAUGACAGCGUGGUGACAGUAGGUUUUGAAUAAGCAACGGCUAAUUACGUGCCAGCCGCAGC